GACGAACGCUGGCGGCGUGCUUAACACAUGCAAGUCGAACGGAAAGGCCCCUUUGGGGGUACUCGAGUGGCGAACGGGUGUGUAACACGUGAGUAACCUGCCCUUGACUUCGGGAUAACUUCAGGAAACUGGGGCUAAUACCGGAUAGGAAUCCUUGCUGCAUGGUGGGGGUUGGAAAGCUUCGGCGGUUUUGGAUGGACUCGCGGCUUAUCAGCUUGUUGGCGGGGUAGUGGCUUACCAAGGCUUUGACGGGUAGCCGGCCUGAGAGGGCGACCGGCCACAUUGGGACUGAGAUACGGCCCAGACUCCUACGGGAGGCAGCAGUGGGGAAUAUUGCACAAUGGGCGGAAGCCUGAUGCAGCAACGCCGCGUGCGGGAUGACGGCCUUCGGGUUGUAAACCGCUUUCAGCAGGGGCGAAGCUUGUGGUGACGGUACCUGCAGAAGAAGCACCGGCUAACUACGUG
rnacentral:rRNA from 1 species